rnacentral:piRNA from 1 species
GAUGUAACUUGAGAACCACCAAAUGGUA